rnacentral:rRNA from 1 species
UACGUAGGGUGCAAGCGUUAAUCGGAAUUACUGGGCGUAAAGCGUGCGCAGGCGGUUUUGUAAGUCUGACGUGAAAUCCCCGGGCUUAACCUGGGAAUUGCGUUGGAGACUGCAAGGCUGGAGUCUGGCAGAGGGGGGUAGAAUUCCACGUGUAGCAGUGAAAUGCGUAGAGAUGUGGAGGAACACCGAUGGCGAAGGCAGCCCCCUGGGUCAAGACUGACGCCCAUGCACGAAAGCGUGGGGAGCAAACAGG